rnacentral:rRNA from 1 species
CGGCGAGUGAAGCGGCAACAGCUCAAAUUUGAAAUCUGGCCCUUGGGUCCGAAUUGUAAUUUGUAGAGGAUGAUUUUGGUGCGGUAUCUUCCGAGUUCCUUGGAACAGGACGCCUUAGAGGGUGAGAGCCCCGUACGGUUGAAUGCCUAGCCUCUGUAAAUCUCCUUCGACGAGUCGAGUAGUUUGGGAAUGCUGCUCUAAAUGGGAGGUAAAUUUCUUCUAAAGCUAAAUACUGGCCAGAGACCGAUAGCGCACAAGUAGAGUGAUCGAAAGAUGAAAAGCACUUUGAAAAGAGGGUUAAAUAGCACGUGAAAUUGUUGAAAGGGAAGGAUUUAUGACCAGACUUUUUCUGGGCGGAUCAUCCGGUGUUCUCACCGGUGCACUUUGCCCAGUUUAGGCCAGCAUCGAUUUUUGGAGAGGGAUAAAAGCUUUAGGAAUGUGGCUCCUCCGGGAGUGUUAUAGCCUAUUGUAUAAUACCUUUCCGGGGAUCGAGGUACGCGCUUCUGCAAGGAUGCUGGCGUAAUGGUUAUCAAUCACCCGUCUUGAAACACGGACCAAGGAGUCGAACAUUUGUGCGAGUGUUUGGGUGUUAAACCCUCACGCGUAAUGAAAGUGAACGGAGGUGAGAGCCCUUACGGGUGCAUCAUCGACCGAUCCUGAAGUUUUCGGAUGGAUUUGAGUAAGAGCAUAACUGUUCGGACCCGAAAGAUGGUGAACUAUGCGUGGAUAGGGUGAAGCCAGAGGAAACUCUGGUGGAGGCUCGCAGCGGUUCUGACGUGCAAAUCGAUCGUCAAAUCUGCGCAUGGGGGCGAAAGACUAAUCGAACCAUC